GUCGAGCUACGGUCGCCCCGCGCGCCCGACCUCCACCCUUUGUCUACCUGACCUACAUGUUGCUUCGGCAGGCCCGCCCGCCCCCCCGCGAGGGGGGAAAGGCCGCCGGGGGUCUCACGACCCCGGGCCCGCGCCUGUCGACGGCCCCAACCACAAAACUCUUGUUAAAAACCGUGUCGUCUGAGUACCACAUUUUAAUCAAAUUAAAACUUUCAUUAACGGAUCUCUUGGUUCUGGCGUCAUUGAAGAAAGCAUGCAAGUGCGAUAGUUAAGGCAAAUUGCAAAAUCCGGGAUUCUUCGAAUCUUUAAACGCACAUUGCCCCCUCUGGUAUUCCGGAGGGCAUGCCUGUUCGAGCGUCAUUAUCACCCCUCAGGCCCGGCUUGUUGUUGGACGCGGCGGCGGCCUCUUCGCGCCCCGCCCGCCUCAAAAAUAAUGACGGCGUCUGUGAGGACUCCUGGACACUGAACUUUCGGGCACUUACUAGGCCAGCACUCCAAACACCGGUCACCGUCUCUUUACUGGGACACUUUUUACCACAAGGUUGACCUCGGAUCAGGUAGGAAUACCCGCUGAACUUAAGCAUAUCAAUAAGCGGAGGAA
rnacentral:rRNA from 1 species